rnacentral:rRNA from 1 species
GACGUAGGGCGCGAGCGUUGUCCGGAUUUAUUGGGCGUAAAGAGCUCGUAGGCGGCUCAUCGCGUCUGCCGUGAAAACCCGCAGCUCAACUGCGGGCAUGCGGUUGAUACGGGUGGGCUGGAGUUCGGUAGGGGAGACUGGAAUUCCUGGUGUAGCGGUGAAAUGCGCAGAUAUCAGGAGGAACACCGGUGGCGAAGGCGGCUCACUGGACCGGUAUUGACGCUGAGGUGCGAAAGCGUGGGGAGCAAACGGG